UAUCAUGACUAAAUCUCCGUUAAAUCUAUCUCACGGGUUGCUCAUGGUGAACGGUGUUAUGCAACACAACAAAUUUCUGCACUAUUAGUGCCAAAAUGGCUAUUGCACUUCCCUAUAUUAAAGUUACCUUAAUCUACUAUUGCACUAUGGAUCAAAAAAUAUAUUAAAAUACCGGACAAACACUACACAAUCGUUGUCCAACUUGGAGCUAACGAGAUAUUGCACUUAUCCGCUGAAUUAUGCUACCACAUUAGAAAACAAUACUAGUUUCUUUUCAUUAACGUUGGCUCACUCUGGAGUUAACCAUAGAUCAAACGCCCUUAGUCCUGCAAUACGAUUCGCCUCUUAGUUUGGCGCUUUUGCUAACUCAAUCUAACCUCGACUAAUGGAGCUCGAUUAGGCGGAAUAGCAACCACUUUAUUGCUACCAAAACACACAAAUAAUCACAGACUUAUCGUAGUCAUCAAAUUAUAACAAUGGUUUUUCUACACCAGUACAUAUAGACGGACACACAAGGGACUGUAACAGCGGGAGGGGAAGCGCCAGGCGAAAUCUUCUUAGAUGGAAACUUCGCAGUCGAGCUUUAAUCAUAUAUCUCCCAACGGCCAAACUUCCUCGUGGGAUACAACUCUAACGCCAGCAACACUUUUAACAUAAAUCGGAUUCACACGGCAAAAGUACUUGCAAAUCUGCUGGGCACAACACUUCACCAAAGAGGCACUCUGCUCGUUGAUCAAACCAGAAAAAAAUAAUGACACUGGCCUCCGUCCACUCUACAAGGAAGGCCAGUGCAGUUCCAAAUUUUGUUUAUCUAUACGAAGAAAAUAGAAACCAAACACCACGAAACAUUCACUACAUCGGUCAAACAUCCACUUUUACUUUGGCUACUCACAUUGUAUGAUACACAAAUAAAAGUUCACACACAAAGUC